AGUCAGCUGAAGUUUACAGUUUCACUCAUUUUCAUGUAAUGAGCACUUGGGUUCUUCACAUCCAUUCAUUUUAGUGCACCUUUGCUCAUGUGGGCUGCGUGGCAGCAUGAUCAAAGCAAUCUAAAUCUCCAACUUUGUUGCUGACAAGGGCCCAAUUUAUUUUAAUGAUCUUGGCCCACAUAACAGCUUAAAGGGAAUUACAGUGAUUUUCACUUUGUCAGCCAAGUCAGAGCCCCUGCCCUGUCUCAAUGCCACAUGCAAACCUAGCCAGGGAAAGUAACUUAGUACAUUCACCUAACUUAAAUAUUUUCAUUCAGUUCCACCUUCAGAGGGUGACAGUGCAUUUGUACUGCACUACGUCUACUUACAAAUCAUUAGUUAUUUGCUUUAGUCACAAAGAAGAUUAAAAUUUAACAUACAAAACACAUAAUCAUUUUAUAAGAUGUGAUGCAUGGUUUGAGAAUAAAAGCACCCUGCAGCGUGUAAAGUGCUGACCAUAACAUUAUAUGUUGCUUACACCUGAACGCAUCAGCAAUUAUAAUCCAAUGACAGCCUUGGCUGUAAAACCCUGAAUGUGCCAGUUUGUGUGCCGCGCUGUCACCCCUGCACCUCAAUACUACAGCUACAUUACAAGUGGAACUCAAAGCAGUGUCCAACACGGAUGUGUCUGUUCCUGUAAACCACAAGCCAAUUCCCGUAAAUCCCAAACCUAUUUCAGUUUCCUUCUGACUUGGAAUUAUUUACUCGGAAUUUCCCUACUUGGAACACCACUUAACUCCUCGACAUACAACGAACCAGCCAGUCUCUCGGCGGGGAAGGCACGGGGACGGAUGCGUGCGGAGUCAACUCCCCGUGCUGAAGCCCACAGUAAUUAAAGACAUCCAUCAGAUUAUGACAGUGGUGUCAGGAAGCUGUGCAGCGUGGGACCCAGAAGGUGAUCUGAUGAACCAUAACAACAGCAAUCAAACGCGCAGAUGAUGUUUCUGAGCAAGAUUCCUCUUGUUUCCUGGUGCUUUGUGAUUCACUUACAAAGUAUGUGUGGGGUGUACUGAGACACAGAUCAUGGGAAGUGGUAAAGUUGUUACAUUAUUUUUUCAGUUUGUACUGUCCGGGGGCUAACUGUCAGUGUGCAGAUACAUACUUGUCCAAUUUCUGUAUUAUUCUGUAAUGUUGAGGAUACAUGUAAGUCAUUGGAACAAGUGCACAAAGCACCGCAACUGAAUUGUUUGUUUGUUUAUUGCAGCAAGGGUUCCAGUUAGGCAAGGUUUGCCAUGUGCGGACAGGAAAGUAUUUACUAGGUUGCUGCGCAUUCCAGGUGGCUUCUUUCUAGAGAUAAGGAAUGAACCAAUCACAGGAUAGACACUGAAUUGUAUUUGAAAGUUUCAUUUGACCUCAGCUGUCCCAGUAAAUGAUGUAACAUGACAGAUGGUGUAACCCAUCACUCUAAACAGAUUGAAAAAUGUUUUUAAUAAAACCAGAAGAGUAAAAUAAA